rnacentral:rRNA from 1 species
UACGUAGGGUGCGAGCGUUAAUCGGAAUUACUGGGCGUAAAGCGUGCGCAGGCGGUUUUGUAAGCCAGAUGUGAAAUCCCCGGGCUCAACCUGGGAAUGGCAUUUGGGACUGCAAGGCUGGAGUACGGCAGAGGAGACUGGAAUUCCUGGUGUAGCAGUGAAAUGCGUAGAUAUCUGGAGGAACACCGGUGGCGAAGGCGGCAUCCUGGACCGGUAUUGACGCUGAGGCGCGAAAGCCAGGGGAGCAAACGGG